rnacentral:tRNA from 1 species
GCCAGCGUAGCUCAGCGGCAGAGCAGCAGACUCAUAAGCUGUUGGUCGGUGGUUCGAUUCCACCCGCUGGCA